CUGAGCAAUGAUGCGUCGUGAUUCCUGUCCGCUUGACUGCAAGGUCUACGUGGGUGACCUGGGAACCAAUGGAAACAAGACAGAACUGGAGCGCUCAUUCAGCUACUAUGGACCCCUGAGGAAUGUGUGGGUUGCACGGAACCCCCCUGGCUUUGCAUUUAUAGAAUUUGAAGACCCCCGUGAUGCAGCAGAUGCUGUACGAGAGUUGGAUGGCAGAACUUUGUGUGGAGUUCGUGUCCGAGUGGAGCUGUCCUCUGGUGAAAGGAGGAAGCGUUACCGUGGCCCACCGCCACCCUGGACCAGACGCCCACGUUACGAUGAUUCUCGCUAUCGCAGCCCACAAAGGCGACGUUACUCGAGUUGAAACCCACGCACUCACCCCCUGCCCCCUUUCAGAGAGCGUCCACUUCUCCGAGUCUGCAUUAGCCAAUCAACUGGUUGUGUCUACAUCAGGGGAUCAGCGCGUCCCAAUCUAAACGAACGCCUCACACUUCAAAUGUCCAGCAUUCACGUGUGUCUGUGAGUGUGUGCAACCGAAUGGCCAACCGCUGGACCGACAAGCUUGGGCCUUUUCCUGCGUACCCCAGCACGCUGUUCAUAAACAACCAUCCCUUCUCUACUGUUUCUGCCGGCAGCCAUAACGACCAAACAGCCAACGGGGGAAAAAAUUACCAUCUGAAAUCCUCUCGAUCCAUCAGUGGGGUGUGGUUGUCCGCCAGCCUUUGCAAACCCAAGGCCUGCAUCGGCAGUAAACUGGUACCAACGCACUCUACAAGGGGCUGCUUCGAUUGGUCUCCGUGCCAAUACACAGCAGAUAAAUUAAUACCAUUUUUUAUUUAAUUCUACACUUUACAUCGUGCAUGAAUCCAGAUGGUCAGGGCCCCCUUUUUCCUUCCCACCACCAUCGUCACACGACACGCCCUGCAGAUGGCUGUUGAUUUGUUAUAAUGUUGACCAUUCUAGUCUCGGUCCAGGGAGAACAGGCAUCGUGAGCGUUCAAUUUCUAGGGACAGGGAAAGACGAGAGCCAUCGAGAUCUUUCUCCAGGUCGCACAGUCGCUCCCGAUCCAUUGAGAGGAAAUAGUAUCUAUGGUGGAGCGGGCCUCUUCUCCCCUCUGGCCUCUUGGAGAUGAAGGAUGUCUGCCUGCAGUGCUCCUGAGAUUCUACAACUGGUGAAGAUUAACAAGCAGCAGAAUGGGGUCGGGAGAUGAGGCUGCUGUUUCUUUUAUUCUGGUUUGAAGGAUGAGCUUUCACCAGCUCACCAAUUUUUGGGACUUUUUUUUAAAAACAAAAACAAAAAAAAAUUGUCAUGCAAAAAAACUAUAAAAACUUGCUACUAAUCACCAGGAAAGGGGGUCAAACCAGCAUUAGAGCAGGCUAACAAAACCUUUUCUUGUAAGUCACCACUGUAGUUUCUUUACAUACCCAAUGAUGUCAACAGUUAUUCAUUGAAUCCCUUUAUGCUUUUAUUAGUUAAUGUCUUGCAUUGCAAUGUAAAGUUAUUGUGACUGAAAAGGGAGUGUUUUUGCCAAGAUGUUGGCACUGCUUAAUAUGCCACACCUUACAGUUUCAUAACUCAAUUCUUUUUACGGAAGGUGUGAGUGAGGAAGGAGGACAGUUUAGAGAUGGGCGCAUUGUCAGCUCAGUCUUUUAUCUUGGACUUAGUGGGUGUUGAGUUUGCUUGGGGACAGAGACGCAGAAAUCUAGUUUUGGAGAAGGGAGGUUUUUCGUCUUCUUACUGGAGGUUGUUGGUUGCGAGGAAUUAUUUGGGCAGUUCGAGGUAGGGGACGGCGAAGAAAGCAGUGGCCUUAACGAGUUGAUGCACGGGCUGAAGAUAGACACAAAAAAUGCUGGAGUAACUCUGCAUCUCUGGAGAGAAGGAAUGGGUGACGUUUCAGACUGAAGAAGGGUCUCGACCCAAAAAGUCACCCAUUCCUUCUCUCCAGAGAUGCUGUCUGUCUCGCUGAGUUACUCCAGUUUUUUUGUGUCCAUCUUUGGUUUAAACCAGCAUCUGCUUCCUUCCUACACAUGUUGAUGCCCAGCUGGUCAGGUUUGAUCAACAACCUGUACAUGAUGGGGGACCAUGUUCUUGCUGCUUGAGUGUUGUGGUGGCCAGAUACUUGUCCUUGUAAUAGAACUCUGGGUGCUGCUGAUUCAAAAGAGAAGAUAAAACCUACUGUACAAGCUGCAACAAAGUAAAUGUCAGCCUGGGUGGUGUUUAUCUACUUGCCUGACAGCCAGCAGUAAUCUGUCUUCAGCUUUCCAAGGGUUCAUUCACCCUUGCACCAAGACACUCCCAUGCAAUAUGACACAAUGCAGGGUGCAGAGCAGAUUGUGUGCUGGGCAUUUCUGCCUCAUAUAAUUUCCUUUGGCGGUGGAUGCUUUUGAAGAAAACAUUCAUUCUACACGCAGCCCAUUUCAUUUUGCUGAUAACUCCCUUGGUGUAUAGCUUAUUCUCUGGUGGUCUGGAGAUAAAUAACGGUAUAUCCCAAAGCACUGGCAAUAAGCUUACAACCAAAGAACUAGAAAUAUCUAGAUUUCCCCUUUGACAUAUCUGUACAUUUCUGAUCUCUUCACUCCGAGUUUUAGAAAAAAAACCCACUUUACUCUGAGCAUUGCAGCCUGCCUAUGUGCAGUUGUUAUUCUCUUCAUGGUAGUGCUCACAUUUGCAGUUUUUAAAGCUUCAGAAAACUAUCAAGAGUUCUGGCAAAGUGUCCGUUUUAUCCCACGCUUGCUGGCCUGAUAUGCCUUGCCCCCCUACUAUGGGAUUUGGUUUCAAUAAUCAUUGCCUUUCGUGACCAGUUGGUUCCAUUUAACUACCUGCUGUACAUUUUCUGACGAAUGGGUGAUGCCUGUGUUACUAUCCCAUGGGAAAUGAUGCUGGGACAGGAGAAAUCUGCCACAAACACCGUAGCCCUUCAUGCGUGUUUGCAUUCAUAUAUAAUGGGAGUUUUAGUGUUGCGAUCAGUUUAGUGUUACAUUAUUGCAACAGUACAUCUGAGCCUACCGAUGAUGAAUUUGAGAAACAUUCCUACUAAUAUAAGAAAAGCCUCUAACAUUCUCAGUUGUCUGAGCCUUCACAGACUAGUGUGUUGCUGUCUGACAAACAGAAUUAUUAUUAUAGGACGUCAUGACUGCUUUAUUGACAGAUGCAUCUUGUUCACUAGCAUCCUUAUUGUUUUUUUAUGACAUACUUUAAAAUACCAAGAGUGAGUUGAUUCUCCAAAGUGUCUGUCUGAUGUGCAAUGAAAGUGGCGUGGAAGUUUGUGAACUUAAGAGUUUUGUUGCUGAAUCUUAACGUAGACAUUUCCGUUGACCGUGGCUAUUGUGUCUUAAUUACCAAUGAAUUCUCCAGGUGAAUGAGAAUUCCUUGUUUGGUCCAGUAGAUAGAUAUAUCUGGCAGGGUAGUAAGAAUGGCAGUAUUUAUCUCCCAACUUGUUACUCCAAUUAAAUCUAUUCCUCGUGGGAUAUAUUACUUUUGGCAUAAAAAACAAUUCCAAAGGACUCUUAAAGGAUUGGCUGCUGCACUGAUAUUAUUCCAGGCCUCAAUCUCAAAUCUAGGCUGCGAUGAGUGACUCAACUCCAGAAUUGAAGAAAAGCAACAAGUGUUAAAUGAAGCUUUAGGCUCCUCAGUGUUAGUUACCAGAACUAAGACACUCUGAAACCUCUACAUUUCUAGGGAAAGAGCAAUUCAUAUUUUUUUACAUGGUACAGGGACUAAUACCCUCGAAAAGCCAGCUAAGUGUUACCUAACAAACAACUAGAAAGCCACCUCAACUAAUUAAGUUUUUUUUAAUGGAUCAGUCAGAAAAGCCUGGUGUCUAACGUAUUUUCAAAUGCUCUCUAUUCUGUACCUGGUUUAGGAAUUAAAUGAUAAAAAUGCCACAAUGUUUGAGGGUUUUCUGUGUUUUUUUCGGAUUUAGCAAUAAGAUCAGCGGUCCACUAAAGGUUCUCUAACAAAAGGUAUUAUGUGAAAUGUUUUAAUUUUACCGUACGCUUACAUUCCCAUACUCCUGUGUAUUGCUCCACAUUUACCCAAAGGCCACCCCGAACUAAAGCUAUCUUUGCAUGCAACUCCGAAAGUUGUCUUUUUACAAAGAGUCUGUACAAAGAUUCAAUAUGUGCGAGUAGGCUGUGUCUUAAUAAGUGUAAACAAAUUAUCUGUGAACAAGUUUACCUUUGUCAACAUGAGGGAUUUGUGGGGGGGGGGGGGAGAUUGCAUUUGUGAAGCCAUGCACUGCUGAAAGACAGGAGCCACAGUGGAGCAUUUAGUUUAAAGGCAUUAAAUGGGAAAGAGAUCUGCUCACAGGUUCAUUACCCCUUAAUUCCAAGCUUGUUUAUCAUAGUACCAUUUAAUAGGAACAAAGUGCUUGUUCUGUGUUUCGAAACAGACUGCUUUGGAAGGUAAUGGGCAUACACAUUGCAAAUUCCCAGUAAAGGAUUUGGAACUGUUUUGUGCAUUUCAAACCUGUCCCCCUGACCUCGCUCUGAGAAGUCUCUGUGUCAAAGUAUCCAGGUGCAUGUUGGCACAAAUUUCUUGCUGUUGGACAAGCUAUUUGGUUAAAUCGAUUCUCUUCAUUAAGUUAUUGCAGGAGCUUUAAAAUCCAACGUUGAUGGGGCCCCUUGUGUGGCACACUAGUACCUGUACUAAGAAAAUGAUUUAUGAUUGUCUAGCUGAGAAUAUUUUGUGGCAUCUGCAGCCAAAACUGUCAGUAAAUGACUUUUUUUUAAAGAAAAUGACUUGAUACUAGCUGGAUUGAUGUUUGGAUUGUGUUUUUUUUUUGUUCUGUUUUUGUCAGAUUUCAAAAUAAAAGUUAUUACAGUCA